rnacentral:rRNA from 1 species
AUGGCAGGCAACGGAGCCAUCGUCGAGAAGGACCCGCUCAACUGGGGCGCGGCGGCGGCCGAGCUCACCGGCAGCCACCUCGACGAGGUGAAGCGGAUGGUGGCGCAGUUCCGCGAGCCCGUGGUGAAGAUCGAGGGCGCCAGCCUCCGCGUCGGCCAGGUGGCGGCCGUGGCCCAGGCCAAGGACGCGUCGGGCGUCUCCGUGGAGCUCGACGAGGAGGCGCGGCCCCGCGUCAAGGCCAGCAGCGAGUGGAUCCUCAGCUGCCUCGCCGGCGGCGGCGACAUCUACGGCGUCACCACCGGCUUCGGCGGCACCUCCCACCGCCGCACCAAGGACGGGCCCGCCCUCCAGGUGGAGCUCCUCAGGCAUCUGAACGCUGGAAUCUUUGGCCCCGGCGCCGAUGGCCACUCGCUGCCGGCGGAGGUGUCCCGUGCGGCCAUGCUCGUGCGCAUCAACACCCUCCUCCAGGGCUACUCCGGCAUCCGCUUCGAGAUCCUCGAGGCCAUCACCAAGCUCAUCAACACCGGCGUCAGCCCCUGCCUCCCGCUCCGGGGCACCAUCACCGCCUCCGGCGACCUUGUGCCACUGUCCUACAUCGCCGGGCUCAUCACCGGACGCCCCAACGCGCAGGCCACCACUGUUGAUGGAAAGAAGGUGGACGCCGCCGAGGCAUUCAAGGCCGCUGGCAUCGAGGGCGGCUUCUUCAAGCUCAACCCCAAGGAGGGUCUCGCCAUUGUCAACGGCACGUCCGUGGGCUCUGCACUCGCGGCCACGGUGCUGUUCGACUGCAACGUCCUCGCUGUUCUCUCCGAGGUCCUGUCCGCCGUCUUCUGCGAGGUGAUGAACGGCAAGCCCGAGUUCACCGACCACCUCACUCACAAGCUCAAGCACCACCCCGGCUCCAUCGAGGCCGCGGCCAUCAUGGAGCACAUCCUGGCCGGCAGCGCCUUCAUGGGCCACGCCAAGAAGGUCAACGAGAUUGACACGCAGCUCAAGCCCAAGCAAGACAGGUACGCGCUCCGCACGUCGCCGCAGUGGCUCGGCCCCCAGAUCGAGGUCAUCCGGUCUGCCACCAAGUCCAUCGAGCGCGAGGUCAACUCCGUCAACGACAACCCCGUCAUCGACGUCCACCGUGGCAAGGCACUCCAUGGCGGCAACUUCCAGGGCACGCCCAUCGGUGUGUCCAUGGACAACACCCGUCUCGCCAUCGCCAACAUUGGCAAGCUCAUGUUCGCGCAGUUCUCGGAGCUCGUCAACGAGUUCUACAACAACGGGCUGACCUCCAACCUGGCAGGCAGCCGCAACCCGAGCCUGGACUACGGCUUCAAGGGCACGGAGAUCGCCAUGGCUUCCUACUGCUCUGAGCUCCAGUACCUUGCCAACCCGGUGACCAACCAUGUCCAGAGUGCUGAGCAGCACAACCAGGACGUGAACUCUCUGGGCCUUGUCUCGGCCAGGAAGACCGCCGAGGCCGUGGACAUCCUCAAGCUCAUGUCCUCCACAUACAUGGUGGCGCUGUGCCAGGCCAUCGACCUCCGCCACCUGGAGGAGAACAUCAAGACCUCCGUGAAGAACUGCGUGACGCAGGUGUCGAAGAAGGUGCUGACCAUGAACCCCACCGGCGACCUCUCCAGCGCGCGCUUCAGCGAGAAGAGCCUCAUCACCGCCAUCGACCGCGAGGCCGUGUUCAGCUACGCCGACGACGCCUGCAGCGCCAACUACCCACUGAUGCAGAAGCUGCGCGCCGUGCUGGUCGACCACGCCCUGACCGCCGGCCCCGGCGAGGCCGAGAGCGAGGCCACGGUGUUCUCCAAGAUCAACAAGUUCGAGGAGGAGCUGCGGUCGGCCCUGCCGCGGGAGAUCGAGGCCGCCCGCGUGGCCUUCGAGAACGGCACCGCGCCCAUCCCCAACCUGAUCAAGGAGAGCAGGUCGUUCCCCCUGUACCGCUUCGUCCGCGAGGAGCUCGGCUGCGUGUACCUCACCGGCGAGAAGCUGCUGUCCCCCGGCGAGGAGUGCACCAAGGUCUUCCUGGGCAUCAGCCAGAACAAGCUCAUCGACCCCAUGCUGGAGUGCCUCAAGGAGUGGAACGGCGAGCCCCUGCCCAUCAACGUCUGA